rnacentral:lncRNA from 1 species
CCUUUCCCUGUUCCCUACAGGCAUCAAGUACUACAGGAGGACUGAGAGAGCGUCUUGCAUGGGCAAAGAUCCAUUUGGGGUGAAGAGACCAUCUCAGGCCUCUCCGCGUUGCAACGAAAAGGUGCUGCUUCCCAGGGGAGCCUUGAUGAAUGCAGGCUGUGAGCAUGACCUCAUCUGUCAAGGUGGAGACAAGAGCUUAGGUGCUGGGGAGCGGACUGGGCUAUUCUGCAAUUCAUGAAGCAAAGCAGGGCCCCUGAAGACCUAUGUUAGGAUGGUGGCCAGCCAAGAUGGUGGACCCUUUAACAGCAUCAGUUACUGAAAGAUUAUGUGAGUUGGAGCUGCUGUCAGCCCAUGCUGGACUACAGCAGGAGUGAGAAG